rnacentral:lncRNA from 1 species
AAGCAUAAAAGUAUGAUAUAAUAAUAGUUUAACAUACAACCAAAAUAAUACCAAAAGAAUAUUCAACACCUCACUUAACCUGAAGACCCUCAUAUCACUAUAUAUUGGACAUCAAUUUCUUUCUAAUGGAAAACCAUAAUUACAUUGCAUAACCACUUUGUACUUUUAGGUUUAAGGUCCCAAUAAAGCUAGCUUCAAAUCAAUCAAUCAAAAAAAUCUAUACAAUUCAAAGUUACGUACAUCAUGGUCCAUUGUCAUGUUUGCAUUCUCCAAUGUUUGGUGGUCUAAAGUCGCCAGUAAUGAAAUGUUUGCUUAAAAUGAAGUAAUCCCAAAUACAAAGCUAAAAAAUAGUUUACAACCAAUGACUGAGAUUUACAACAAACUGAAAAACAAACAAAAAAAACAUAAAUAACAAUACCGCCUUGUUAUGUUUUACUCCUUUAACUUUUUGCAUACUAGCUCACAAAGUUCGCUCAUGAUAGCUAAAAUACAAUACAAAAUUAGAAAGUCAAAAUCAGAAGAAUGUUUCACUUCACAUUUGAAUCAUGAAAUCAUAUCAUGUUCCAUGAUACAAAUUAAAACCAGACCCAAUUGAGUGACCAUUUAACAAGUACCCCCCCCCCCCCCCCCCCCCCCCCCCUCCCCCCCCCCCCCCCCCCCCCCCCCCCGGUCUCAAUUGACAUAGAUGAUCUUGGAGGUUCUAAUGGUACAAAUUUUAAUUCAUUUUCUAUUGAUUGCAUACCAGAAUGAGAAGAAGAUAUGUAUUGACUGAAACUUCUAGAAGAAUCUGUAAGCAAAAGAUAAGUUAGGGGAAUCAAGCUUCUAUAAAAGAACCAAUACCAAGUAAAAAAUUAGGGUUAUCUCUAAAGCUUCGUCGGCAGAUCCUGCGCUGUUUGACUGAAGCCAUCGGCUAUGCAUCUAAAGAGAUCUGAAAGGAAUGAAAUUGAUGUUACUAAGAAGAAAUGGUGUUUGAGACUCUUGGUUUGAAGAUCUUACGCUUCUUCGUUUGCCUUUGUUCAAGUAAAUGAAAUGAACUUAAGAUUUUGAUUGCUCAUGAGAAGUUUGAUUAGAAAUAAUAAUAAUUCAAAAAAAAUUAAAAAAAUUUAUAUCAGAUGACAUAAUACCAACUGAAGGGCUACAUACACAUAAUUUAACGAUUUUUAUAAAAUUUAAUGAUCAAUGUGAGUAACCUAAUGUGUUUUAAAAAAUUAAAAAUGAACACUUGUUAAUUAAAGGACGAAACAAAAACCUUAAACUAAACUAAGAAAUCAAAGAGUACAUUAUGUUUUUUUAUAAGCCUUAGA